GCCCUCCACCAAGUGGUUAUUACUAUCCACCACCACCACCAUCAUCUGCUUCGGUAUAUUACCCUCCACCAACUGGGUAUUUCCCUUAUUAUCCUCCCCCUUACGUCAACCGCUAUUCUCCUCCCCCUCCUGAUCCAAUCUUGCCUUACUUUCCGUUUUACUUCAAAAAAACUCCACCCUCAUCGAAUCUCUCCUCGGCAUCUUCUCUCAAGGGGUCUCUGGCUGGAUUGUUUCUGAACUUAAUUUUGUUGGGUUCGUUUGGUUUCUUUAAUUUGUUAUAGUUUGAUCAUGCAUAUGAGGGUGAUUUGGGGAUUAGAAGCUGUAGAAGCAGGGGAGAGCAGAAAUUAAUUGGGAUGACCUCUGUUCCAUCUUGAAUGAAAUUUUGUAACAGUUUGGAUUCAUCAUUCACUCA